rnacentral:rRNA from 1 species
UCGGCGAAAGUAGGACUAAUUCCGUAGGUUGUCCAUUGACGGCAUCCGAUUAGGACGAAAGGUUUAGCGGUGAGGGAUGGGGAUGCGUCCGAUUAGCUAGACGGCGGGGUAACGGCCCACCGUGGCUACGAUCGGUAGGGGUUCUGAGAGGAAGGUCCCCCACACUGGAACUGAGACACGGUCCAGACUCCUACGGGAGGCAGCAGUGAGGAAUAUUGGUCAAUGGGCGGAAGCCUGAACCAGCCAAGUAGCGUGCAGGAUGACGGCCCUAUGGGUUGUAAACUGCUUUUAUGCGGGGAUAAAGGGGCCCACGUGUGGGCUUUUGCAGGUACCGCAUGAAUAAGGACCGGCUAAUUCCGUGCCAGCAGCCGCGGUAAUACGGAAGGUCCGGGCGUUAUCCGGAUUUAUUGGGUUUAAAGGGAGCGUAGGCCGCCCCUUAAGCGUGUUGUGAAAUGCGGGUGCUCAACAUCCGACUUGCAGCGCGAACUGGGGGGCUUGAGUGCGCCGAAAGUAGGCGGAAUUCGUGGUGUAGCGGUGAAAUGCUUAGAUAUCACGAAGAACUCCGAUUGCGAAGGCAGCUUACUGUAGCGCAACUGACGCUGAUGCUCGAAAGCGUGGGUAUCGAACAGGAUU